AUUCUGGCACCAGUAGUAUGGAUUGGGACCAGAGAGUCCAAACCCACUUCCUGGGUACCAACCCAUGUAAAAUGCAUUAGCGUUUGAAAAGUACCAGCUUCUGCGGGAUAAUGCAUGCCCAAAUAAGGACACCCCAGGUCACAAAGAGUUAGGGGAAGGCCAAUGGACAAAAUGGCGAAAGGAGAAGACAAAUGACCGCGUGGUACGGCCGUGACGGACACUAGCCACAGACAUGAGCCACACACGGUAAGUGUUGUAUAACUCAGGAAAAGUUUAUAAAAAUACAUGAAAAUGCUUCUGCUGCCACCAGUCUACUCCUAGGCACAUUGUCCAGUUGCCAAAAAAUUCUUAAGGAAUGUCUAGGGCCCGUAAAUGCAAGGACCCAGUGCGCGGUACAUUAAUGAACUUUGCGCACUGAAAUACAGUUGCAACAAAGUCACAAGACUAAGGGAAACAAUGUUUCCCAGUACUGACUGUUAUGUGGACAAGUCAGUUUCCCCAGCACGAUGAGUGAAAGCACAGUGGAGCACAGCUGAAGGCUGUGCUUCACUGGCCGAAUGGUAGGACAGGAUGCUGAAACAAAAGCGAAAAGUUGGGAGGUCCACAAAUAUUGAGGUAAAAAAGCAGUAAGUACAAUUUUACCUAAUAUGGUGCAAUGGAGUUGAGGGCAGGUGUGCUGGCUGAGGUGGGAUCCUGUCACAGGGUCAUGAUGGGUGCACCACUGGACAUCUUGUCCGCUCUGUCAGAGAAAUAGAGCAUUAACAUGUGUGAUGGGACCUAAAAGGUGGUGAACUAUGCCUGGACAAGGCAAAGCCAGAGCUAAAUAUGGUGGAGGUCAGUAGAAGUCCUGACUUGCAAGCUGGUCAUCUGACUCGGGUAUCAGGGUGAAAGACUAAUCAAACCAUCUAGUAGCUAAUUCCCUCUGAAGUUUCCCUCAGGAUAGAUGGUGCUUGAAAACCCCAGUUUUAUCUGGUAAAGCACAUUAUUAGAGUUCUUGGGGCUGAAACACCUCAACCUAUUCCCAAACUUUAAGUGGGUAAGAAGCCUGGCUCUCUGGUGUGGAGCCGGACAUCGAAUGCAACUGUCCAGUGGGCCACUUUAUGUAAGCAGAGCUGUGGGAUUUACUGAACACCGGGCUAAGAUGCCUGAUGCCGAUGCGCAUCAGACCCCAGAAAAGGUGUUGGUUGAUAUAGACAGCAGGACAGUAGCCAUUGAAGUCGAAAUCUGUUAAAGAGUGUGUAACAACUCACUUGCCAAAUCGACUAGCCUUGAAAAUGAUGGUGCUGGAGCAUCGGCCCCAUACCCAUACUUGCUGGUCUGAGAGCCAUGGGGGAUCAGCCGCAAUGAGUAUAGGGCCGAUGCGAUGAACACAUAUGCUCAGGACGACGGCCCAGGUGGAGCUGCCACAGGUGCAGAUCUUGGCGGUAGUAACAAAUAUUCAAACGAGAACUUUGAAGAGAGAAGUGGAGAAGGAUUCCAUGUGAACAGCAGUUUAACAUGGCUUCCUCGGUCCUAGGAAAUGUGCGACGGGCAGAAGGGACGGGCGAUAGCCUGGCUCCGUUGCCCUUAGCCAAUCGAAAGGAAGUCUGGCUCAGAUCCCUGAAUCUGGAGUGGCGGAGACUGAUGCCCUUGUUGCAUCCAGUGUGGUAAUGAAAAUAGAUCCCGGAGAAGAGUUCUAUUUUCUUCGUGAAGGGCAGGGCACCCUGGAAUGGGAUUUGCCCCAAGAGAGGGGCCGAGCCUUGGAAAGUGUUGCAGUUUCGGCAGCAUCCAGUGAUCUCUCACUGGUGCUUUAACAUCCACGGGAGAUGGUGGAAAUCUCACAACGGGCCAGACCCAUAUCCGCAGCAGAUCGGCAAGCUAUACUCUCUCUCUCUUAAGGUAGCCAAAUGCCUCAUCAUCUAAUUAGUGAUGCGCAAGAUUGGAUGAACGAGAUUAGAUUCCUAUUGUCCCUACCUACUAUCUAGCAAAACCACAGCCAAGGGAAUGGGCUUGGCAGAAUCAGCGGGAAAAGUAGACCAUAUUGACUCUAGUCUGGCACUAUGAAGAGAAAUGAGAGGCGUAGGAUAAGUGGGAGGUCCUCGGGCUGCCAGUGAAAUAUCACUAUUCGUAUUGUUUUUUCACUUACACUGUGAGGCAGGGGGGUGAGUACUGUGGGGCUCUCACUUCUGACACCAAGUGCCUGGCUUCUGGGUACGACCCAAUUUGGGACCAGUGGCAAGUGGAGAGUUUUACUGGAGCGGUACACCUGUCAAAGGAUAAUGCAGGUGUCCUAUGGCGAGAUCAGGGAAGACAGAAACCUCCUGCAGUGCAGAAGCCGCAAAAGCUCACUUGAUCUCGAUUUUCAGUAUGAAUACAGACUAUGAAAGCAGGGCCUCAAGAUCCUUCUGACUUAUUGGUUUUCAAGUAGGAGGUGUCAGAAAAGCUACCACGGGGAUAACUGGCUUGUAGCAGCCAAGCGCUCAUAGCAACAUCACUUUUUGAUCCUUCGAUGUCAGCUCUUCCUAUCAUUGUGAAGCAGAAUUCACCAAGUGGUGGAUUGUUCACCCACUAAUAGGGAACGUGAGCUGGGUUUAGACCAUUGUGAGACAGGUUAGUUUUACCCUACUGAUGAUAUGUUGUUGCAAUAUUAAUCCUGCUCAGUACGAGAGGAACCACAUGUUCAGACAUUUGGUGUAUGUGCUUGGCUGAAGAGCCAAUGGGGUGAAGCUACCAUCUGUGGGAUAAUGACUGAACACCUAAAGCAUAAUGAUAUUGCAGCGCUAUGAAACCUUGGUUUGCCUAGGAUAGCCAGCUUCUGGGCCAGUGCGUAGAGCUGCACACCUCGGGACUUGAAUGUGGACAGAAGGAGGCCACCUCGCUCAACCGUAGUGCACUGCAUGU
rnacentral:rRNA from 1 species